rnacentral:rRNA from 1 species
CGACCCCAGGUCAGGCAGGAUUACCCACUGAGUUUAAGCAUAUCAAUAAGUGGAGAAAAAGAAACUUACAAGGAUUCCCUUAGUAACGGCGAGCGAACCAGAAAUAGCCCAACCUUAGAAUCGAGCGGCUCCGUUGUCCGAAUUGUAGUUUGUAGAAACAUCCUCAGCUUAGGACCAGGCCUAACUCCCCUAGAAGGGGGCGCCAGAGAGGGUGAGAUCCCCAUUGUGCUCGGACACUAUCACACCACGAGGCACUGUCUACGCGUCGGGUUGUUUGGGAAUACAACCCAAUCGGGCGGUGAAUUUCAUCCAAGGCUAAAUAUGGGUGACAGACCGAUAACAAACAAGUACUGCGAGGGAAAGAUCAAAAGCACUUUGAAAAGAGAGUCAAAGAGUGCUUGAAAUUCUCAGGAGGGAAGCAGACGGGGGUCAUAAAUGCGCCUCGGUUGGAUGUAGAAUAGCGACAAGCCAGUCCGAUGAUCGACUCAGGGUGUGGACCAGCAAGAAUUGGUAGGGCGUCCAAAGCCCGGGCUCUCGAUAUACUCAUGGAAUACCAUCUUCUUGAUUUUGGCAGGUAGUGUGCGCCUCCGGCGUGCUUCGUAAUUCAACCUAGUACAAGAGAAAAUGCUGGAUUAUGACUGAACGCCACUAAGUCAGAAUCCGAGCUAGAAGCGACACAUGCAACCGCUGUCCACUUGCUGACCCGCAGUAGGGGCCUAGGCCCCCAAGGGCACGUGUUGAAUUCUAAGCCACCACGGUGGAAGAGUCGCUGCGGCCGCCUUGAAGUAUAAUUUCCAUUGAGCGGCGGGUAGAAUCCUUUGUAGACAACUUAAAUAUGCGAUGGGGUAUUGUAAGUGGAAGAGUGGCCUUACUACCAUGAUCCAAUGAGAUUCAUCCCUUUGUCUCUCUAGUUCGU